rnacentral:rRNA from 1 species
GGAGGGUGCAAGCGUUGUUCGGAAUUAUUGGGCGUAAAGAGCGUGUAGGCGGCUUGGCAAGUCGGGUGUGAAAGCCCGGGGCCCAACCCCGGAAUUGCACUCGAAACUGCCUCGCUAGAGUCCCGGAGAGGAAGGCGGAAUUCUCGGUGUAGGGGUGAAAUCCGUAGAUAUCGGGAGGAACACCAGUGGCGAAGGCGGCCUUCUGGACGGUGACUGACGCUGAGACGCGAAAGCGUGGGGAGCAAACAGGAUUAGAUACCCUGGGUAGUCCACGCCGUAAACGUUGGGUGCUAGGUGUCGCGGGUAUUGACCCCCUGCGGUGCCGUCGUUAACGCAUUUAGCACCCCGCCUGGGGAGUACGGUCGCAAGGCUA